UUUUGGAGCUCAAUAUUUCUCGUCGUUUAGGUACUACGGGGAAGAAAACCGUUUGCUCCGUUUGUCCCUAGCCGAGCUUGCAGCACAGAAUCGACAGGAUGCGUGGCCGGCAAGGCGAAAAAGCCGCGUCCGAGCUGUCAUCUUCUCGGAAGCAGGCACUCAUGCUUGGAGACCUGCAGAGCCCGAACUGCAGCAUGUAUGCCGAAAUAAACAGCUAUUGCCUAUUUCAAAUAGAA